UACGGAGGGGGCUAGCGUUGUUCGGAUUUACUGGGCGUAAAGCGCGUGUAGGCGGCUUGGCAAGUCGGAUGUGAAAGCCCACGGCUCAACCGUGGAAGCGCAUCCGAAACGGCCUCGCUCGAGUCUCGGAGAGGAAGGUGGAAUGCUUGGUGUAGAGGUGAAAUUCGUAGAUAUCAAGCAGAACACCUGCGGCGAAGGCGGCCUUCUGGACGAUGACUGACGCUGAGACGCGAAAGCGUGGGGAGCAAACAGG
rnacentral:rRNA from 1 species